UACGUAGGGUGCGAGCGUUGUCCGGAAUUACUGGGCGUAAAGAGCUCGUAGGUGGUUUGUCGCGUUGUUCGUGAAAACCGGGGGCUUAACCCUCGGCGUGCGGGCGAUACGGGCAGACUGGAGUACUGCAGGGGAGACUGGAAUUCCUGGUGUAGCGGUGGAAUGCGCAGAUAUCGGGAGGAACACCGGUGGCGAAGGCGGUUCUCUGGGCCUUACCUGACGCUGAGGAGCGAAAGCGUGGGGAGCGAACAGG
rnacentral:rRNA from 1 species